CCCGCACAAGCGGCGGAGCAUGUGGCUUAAUUCGACGCAACGCGAAGAACCUUACCAAGGCUUGACAUACACCGGAAAGCAUUAGAGAUAGUGCCCCCCUUGUGGUCGGUGUACAGGUGGUGCAUGGCUGUCGUCAGCUCGUGUCGUGAGAUGUUGGGUUAAGUCCCGCAACGAGCGCAACCCUUGUCCCGUGUUGCCAGCAGGCCCUUGUGGUGCUGGGGACUCACGGGAGACCGCCGGGGUCAACUCGGAGGAAGGUGGGGACGACGUCAAGUCAUCAUGCCCCUUAUGUCUUGGGCUGCACACGUGCUACAAUGGCCGGUACAAUGAGCUGCGAUACCGUGAGGUGGAGCGAAUCUCAAAAAGCCGGU
rnacentral:rRNA from 1 species